UGUAGGUAGCUCAGUGGUAGAGUAUUGCUUAGCAUGCAAAGGCCCUAGAUUCAAUUCCCAGCACCAAAA
rnacentral:tRNA from 1 species